UCAAGCUAAUAAGAGCACAGGGUGGAUGCCCAGGCACCAAACGCCGACGAAAGACGUGGCAAGCUGCGAAAAGUCACGGGGAACCGCAAGCAGGUAUUGAUCCGUGAACGUCUGAAUGGGGAAACCCGGCGGGUUAACAGCCCGUCACUAUUAACUGAAUCAAUAGGUUAAUAGGGGGAACGCGGGGAACUGAAACAUCUCAGUACCCGUAGGAAGAGAAAAUAAAGAAUGAUUUCCUAAGUAGCGGCGAGCGAACGGGAAAGAGGCCAAACCGAAGGGCUUGCUCUUCGGGGUUGUGGAUCAGCAAAAAGGACGGAAGACCUUAGCAGAAGAGGAUUGGAAAGUCCCGCCAGAGAGGGUAAAAGCCCCUUACGCGAAAAGGUCAAACGACGAGCUGACACCAGAGUACCGCAGGACACGAGAAAUCCGGUGGGAAGCCGGGAGGACCACCUCCCAAGCCUAAAUACGAAUUGGUGACCGAUAGCGCAUAGUACCGUGAGGGAAAGGUGAAAAGAACCCCGGGAGGGGAGUGAAAAAGAACCUGAAACCCUGUGUUUACAAGCAGUGAAAGUGCGAGCAAGGCACGAUCACGUACUUUUUGUAGAACGGACCGGCGAGUUACGUUAUGCAGCAAGGUUAAGAACUGAAGGUUCGGAGCCGAAGCGAAAGCGAGUCUGAAUAGGGCGAUAGUUGCAUGACGUAGACCCGAAACCGGGUGACCUAUCCAUGAGCAGGUUGAAGUGGAGGUAAAGCUCCAUGGAGGACCGAACCAGACGUCUGUUGAAAAAGGCGGGGAUGACUUGUGGAUAGGGGAGAAAUUCCAAUCGAACCCGGAGAUAGCUGGUUCUCCUCGAAAUAGCUUUAGGGCUAGCCUCAUGGAUCAUUGGUGGGGGUAGAGCACUGAAUGUGCGCGGGGGCCACAAAGCCUACCAAACGCUAUCAAACUACGAAUACCAUACAAUGCAGACCAUGGGAGUCAGUCCGCGAGAGAUAAGUUCCGCGGGCAAAAGGGGAACACCCCAGAUCAACCGCUAAGGUCCCCAAGUUCACGUUAAGUGGAGAAGGAUGUGGAAUUGCACAGACAACCAGGAUGUUGGCUCAGAAGCAGCCACACAUUUAAAGAGUGCGUAAUAGCUCACUGGUCGAGUGAUUGUGCGCCGAAGAUGUCCGGGGCUAAACGUGACACCGAAGCGAUGGGCGCGUCUGAAGAAGAUGCGCGGUAGAGGAGCAAUGUGCAGAGGCAGAAGCCGUAUCGAGAGGCACGGUGGACACUGCACAAGAGAGAAUGCCGGUAUGAGUAGCGAGAGGCAUGCGAGAAACAUGCCCGUCGAAAGCCCAAGGUUUCCUGGGGAAGGUUCAUCCGCCCAGGGUAAGUCGGGGCCUAAGCCGAGGACGGAAGUCGUAGGCGAUGGACAGCAGGUGUAGAUUCCUGCACUACCGAUGGAAUGAAGCAGUGACACAGAAGGAUAACUCGAGCAGGGUGAUGGUCAACCCUGUGCAAGCAUCAAGGUUGGGUUGUAGUGAAGUACGCAAUCCUAUAAGCUGAGGUGUGAUGCGGACCGAAAUUUCAGUAGGGAAGCGAGUGAGUUCACGCUGGCGAGAAAAGCUGCUAGUACAUCCAAAGGUACCCGUACCGGAAACCGACGCAGGUGGGCGAGGAGAGAAUCCUGAGACGAACGGGAGAACCCUUGUUAAGGAACUCGGCAAAAUGACCCCGUAACUUCGGGAUAAGGGGUGCCUGCGAGAGCAGGCCGCAGAGAAUAGUCACAAGCGACUGUUUAGCAAAAACACAGGUAUCUGCGAAAGCGAGAGCUGACGUAUAGGUGCUGACACCUGCCCGGUGCUGGAAGGUUAAGGGAACAUGUUAGAGCAAUCGAAGCAUCGAACCGAAGCCCCAGUAAACGGCGGCCGUAACUAUAACGGUCCUAAGGUAGCGAAAUUCCUUGUCGGGUAAGUUCCGACCCG
rnacentral:rRNA from 1 species